ensembl:lncRNA
CUUCCGGCCAGGUCGGCGCGCCAAAAAGGGUCUCUGGAUAUUGGAGCUUCGGUCUCUCUCAGAGUAGGGGUUGUUGUCUGCUGUUUUCCUUACCUCACUCUAGGAAAUUUAAGUACUGACUUCCCCGUUACAGAUAUUGUGUAGAAGAACCGUCUUUCUUCGGCGCAGCUGUGAUCCUUUUGGCCCGGGGACCGUUGGCCCUCGCGAGUCGACUUUCGUAAUUAUCUAGGGCCACAGAACGGAGGGAACCGCCGUGUGGAACGGCUUGAGAGCGGGGUCUGGAUGCAGAGGAAGGCCGGAAAUUGUGUGUGUGGCUCUUCUGACUGGGUCCGCCCUGUAGACGUGUUACCUGUUGAGCCUGUGAUGCAGUUCUUGGUGAAAUGUAUGCUCUGUGAGUGUAGGAAGAUGGUGGUCUGCAAUGCACAGUACGCCUUACAAAGCCCGGCCCUGACACGCUGGUUGCUCGUUACCCAGGGAGCUCUCAGGAAGGGAAAUACUCGGCCCCGCUCCCAUGGUCACGAACCUGCCAGAGAACCGCCCCGGCAGAAAUUUUUGUUUUGAAAGAGUUUCGAAGAUGAAUGGUCGGAACCGUGUUACAACUCUUCUUGUGAUUCUGACCUCAUUUUAUUUGUUUAUAAUAAACUGGUUUAUUGUGCGCUGCUUUUCUCUCACUUCCCUGGUGGCUCAGAUGGUAAAGCGUCUGCCUACAAUGCAGGAGACCUGCAAUCUCUGGGUCAGGAAGAUCUCCUGGAGAAGGAAAUGGCAACCCACUCCAGUAUUCUUGUCUGGAAAAUCCCAUGGACGGAGGAACCUGGUAGGCUACAGCCCAUGGGGUUGCAAAGAGUCGAACACGACUGAGCGACUUCACUUUGACUUCACUUUAUCUCACUAGGGGGAUGAGAGGAGUUCAGAAAUGAGAUUUGAGAAAUUUCAUGAGUCCAGUAAGUAUGUGUAGACUCACACUACCUGGUCACAGUGGGAAUGUGGUCAGCAUCAGUUGUAAAGGUCAAACGAAGGCUGUCAAGAUGGGAAUAUAUACGUCUUGAAUUGAACUUAACUAAUCAAGUCAAGAAUGCUUUCUUUUCCUCUAUACUUUGCUUUUUUUUUUAAAUUGUUUUAUAUAACUGGUUUCUCUUGAAUACAAAAUAUAGUUGAAAGACUUCGUGGAAGUGACACUAAUUCUUUGAAGAAAGGGGAAGAAACUGUACACAGAAAUGAGUUUAGACAGAUAAAUGUUUGUUUAGAUUUUAAGCCAAAGGUACAAAAGUUUUACCAGUAGUCCACAUUAUUUAUUCUUUGGAAUAACGUUCUCACUCAUAAAUGUCACAUUUCAUAAAAAAAAGUGGAAAACGAGAACCAUCACACACUGAUUAGAAGUGCUAAAAUCCGAAACACCAAGUGCUGAUGAGACUUUGGAAUACUAAGGAACUCUCAUUGAUUGAUUGAACGCAAAAAUGGUACAGCCACUAUGGGAAUCUUUUUGGUGGCUUCUUACAGAGCAAAGCAUAUUCUUACCCUGUGAUCAUUAAUUACUUCUCGAUAUUUACCCGGAAUAGUUGAAACUUUAUGUCCACAUAAAAACCUGCAUAUGAAUAUUUAUACCAACUUCGUUGUAACUGCCAAACUUACAGGCAACCAGGGUAUGCUUCAUCUCUUGAAUUCUGCUAAUACAACUGAUGUGUAUACACUGGAAGACCUUCCAGAAUUUCUGAAACUUUCUCCGUGAGAACUUCUGCUGGUGAUGAGG